rnacentral:rRNA from 1 species
GACGAACGCUGGCGGCGUGCUUAACACAUGCAAGUCGAACGGAAAGGCCCUGCUUGCCGGGUACUCGAGUGGCGAACGGGUGAGUAACACGUGGGUGAUCUGCCCUGCACUUCGGGAUAAGCCUGGGAAACUGGGUCUAAUACCGGAUAGGAGCCAUUUUUAGUGUGAUGGUUGGAAAGUUUUUUCGGUGUAGGAUGAGCUGGCGGCCUAUCAGCUUGUUGGUGGGGUAAUGGCCUACCAAGGCGGCGACGGGUAGCCGGCCUGAGAGGGUGGACGGGCACAUUGGGACUGAGAGACGGACCAGACGCCUACGGGGGGCAGCAGUGGGGAAUAUUGCACAAUGGGCGCAAGCCUGAUGCAGCGACGCCGCGUGGGGGAUGACGGCCUUAGGGUUGUAAAAUCCUUUCGCUAGGGACGAAGCUUUUUGUGACGGUACCUAGAUAAGAAGCACCGGCUAACUACGUG